CUGCCGAUCAAGAUUGUGAGCAAACAACUUCGAUUACCGCUUUGAAACAACGACUAAAAGACAAACGUGCGCUGGCUCUGGAAAAUUCCACUGCCGCCAUGCAAUUGACGAAGCCACCUCCUGCAAGUUCAGGUUUUAACCACCGCGGACGGGAGAACAAUGCCUCGGCUACUGCCUUGAAGGCGAUUGAAGACCCGGCGCCAGGAGUGAGCUGCUUGCUAUGUGCUGAGCACGCAACAUGAAACAUCAACGCUACAGCCUGCACUGCAUGUACCUACACCAGCCUCUGCAUCUACACCUUCACUUCUAGAAACAAAAUUUGGUUUCAUUGUAGCCGGUAACUUACCAAACAUCCCUGCUGCUUCAAAUCCGGUAACAUUAUUUUGCAAAACAUGUGAUCACAAUAUUCAUGACAGCGUCACCCAACUGUGGAAAACUGAAUCAGUUCCAGAAAUAUAUCCUGAAAAGCUUUCAGAACAUGAAACUUGUGAACAACAAUUUAAGGAAUCUGUAACACUUGAGAACAAUAAAUUCACAGUGGGACUGCCACUAAAGUUGCCACUUGACUCCGUUAACCAAAUGUUGGGUGACACUCUCAAUUUAGCUCUAAAAAGGUUUUAUAACUUAGAAAAAAGAUUGCAAAAAGACCCAGUUCUACUUGAUCUUUAUUCCAACUUUAUUCAUGAAUAUAUUGACCUGGGCCAUGCCACAAAAAUUGAUAUUAAUCAAUACAAUCUUGAUAGGGACCCUGUUUAUUUUCUGCCUCAUCAUCCUGUUGUACGUAUGGACAAAAGAACCACUAAAUGUAGAACAGUGUUUGAUGCUUCAAUGAAAGGUAGUAAAAAGAUAGCUUUAAAUGAUAUAUUAUUGAAUGGACCUGUCGUACAAAACGAACUUUUUGAUGUUUUAAUUUUGUCACGGCUUGAGAAAUACAUAUUCAUUACAGAUGUUAAACAUAUGUUCAGAGCUAUAGAGCUUGAUGAAAAAUACAGAUCUCUACAAAAUAUUCUUUGGAGAGACAUUCCAACAGAUAAUUUGGAUUGUUUACAGUUGAAUACCGUUACUUACGGUAUGAAAAGCUCUUCUUAUUUAGCAACUCGUUGUCUAAUGGAAUUAGCCGAAAAUUAUUACAAAGAUCAUCCACAAGCUGCAUUUAUUUUAAAAAAUCAGACUUAUGUAGACGAUGUAAUAGGAACUGCUUCAUCCAUAGAGUCAUUGAUAGAGUCAAAGGAACAGCUUUGUAGAAUCAUGGAUUUAGGAGGUUUUAAGUUACAUAAAUGGUCAUCUAAUUCUCCCGAAUUGUUACAAAAUAUACCAUUAGAAAAACAAUAUUUUGAUGAUAUUGAAUUGCAAAAAAAUGAUCUUUUAUUGAAAACAUUAGGAAUUAAAUUUAAUGUGAAGUCAGAUAAUCUUAUCCUUGCCUCUCCUGUUUCAGAAGGAAAUGUACCCCAAACAAAACGCGAAAUCCUGAGCUUCAUCAGCAAGUUUUUCGACCCAUUGGGCCUGGCUGGUCCAAUUGUUGUUUCAGCUAAGCUUUUUAUACAAAAUUUAUGGAAGUCGCGUGUUGAUUGGGAUACAAAGGUUGAAGGUGACCUAAAAAAGACUUGGUUUGAUUAUUAUGAUAGCUUAACUAAAAUGAAUCCUAUAAAUAUCAAUAGGUACAUAUGCUUAGACAUGUCAGUUUGCUUUCAAUUAAUUGGGUUUGCUGACGCAUCAAGCACAGUUGCUUAUGGGUGCUGCAUUUAUCUCAGAGUCAUUGAUGCCGCAGGGAAUGUUAAAGUUUCUUUGUUAUGCGCUAAAUCGAGAAUUAAUCCACUCAAUAACAACCUCACAACACCAAGAUUGGAAUUGAAUGCUGCUUUACUACUUUCCAAACUUUGUGCUAAGGUACACAAAACAUUAUCUUUAAAAUUUAAAAUAAAUAACGUAUUUUUAUAUUCUGACUCACAAAUCGUAUUAGCAUGGAUUGCUACUGACAUCAUAAAACUAAACACGUAUGUUGCUAACCGUGUAAAGGAAAUUACACAAAAUACACAAAGGUGCACUUGGUCUUACAUAAACACUACAGAUAACCCUGCAGAUUGCUUAAGUAGAGGUCUCCUCCCGCACGAGUUCGAGUCUCACCCACUCUGGUGGAAAGGCCCUGGAUUUCUCCACACAAGUGAGUAUGAUUUGCCUUGUAAUGUUCCUGCAGUCAUGGAGGAUCUUCCAGAGUCGAAAAAGGAGCCAGCACAUACCUUGGUAUGUACCACCCAUGUACCUUUGAAUCUAAAUUUUUUAGACAAGUUCUCUAACCUGCACAAAAUGCAGCGAGUACUAGCAUAUAUACUCCGAUUCUGUAAAAAUACACGCACAAACUUGGACAGGGUUCAAUGUAACUAUCUCACUUCUAAGGAGCUAGAAAAGUCAUUAUUGUUAAUAGUAAAGUAUGAACAAGAAAGACAUAUGAAGGACUUAAUUCAUAAUGUUAGUAAUAACAAACCUCUCUCAGAGUGUAACCUACAAUCGUUGCAUCCAUUUGUUGAUGAUAAUGGCAUGUUAAGAGUGGGUGGUCGACUUGAAAAAUCAAGCUUGCCAUAUUCGCAAAAGCAUCCACUUAUCCUGCCUAAAGGUUCCCGUCUUAUAGAACUAAUUAUUAGAAGCGAGCAUAUAAAAAAUUUACAUGCAGGACCUAGACUACUAUUGUCAUCAAUAAAUCAAAAGUUUUGGAUCGUAAAUGCUUUGCGUGAAAUUAAAAAGGUUACCCAUAAGUGUGUAAUAUGUUGGAAACUCAAGAAAAAGGUUUCUGAGCAGUUAAUGGGCUCGUUGCCACACGACAGAAUAAAUGUAUGUCGUCCUUUUCAAAAAAUUGGAUUAGAUUUUUGUGGUCCCGUGUCAGUCAAACAAUCGACGAUGCGUAGGUCAAUAGUAGGUAGUGGGUACAUUUGCGUGUAUGUAUGCUUCACCACAAAGGCCGUACAUUUAGAGUUGUGUUCUGAUUUAAAAACACAAACAUUUUUAGCUUCAUUUAGGCGCUUUAUCUCACGUAGAGGACUUCCAACGGAUGUCUACUGCGACAAUGCUUCUAAUUUCAAAUGUGCUAACUCAGAGUUACAUAAAUUGUAUAAUUCCAAAGAACACCAAAAUCAGGUACAAGACUUUAGUAGUGAAAAAGGUAUAAACUUUCACUUCAUACCUUGUUAUUCACCAGUAUUUGGUGGCCUUUGGGAGGCCGCUGUUAAAAGCACCAAAUUCCAUCUAAAACGAGUAGUACAAAGGUCGUUACUUACUUUUGAACAAUUAAUAACUGUCUUGUAUGAAAUAGAGGCUAUUUUAAAUAGUAGACCUCUGUUACCAUUGUCUAAUGAUAUUACCGAUUACUCAUAUCUAACACCUGGUCAUUUUUUGAUAGGUACUGCCUUGAAUUCAUAUCCUGAAAAAGAUGUAACCAACAUUUCUAAUAAUAGAUUAACCUUUUGGCAGAAAUGUAAUGAUCUUAAACAAUCGUUUUGGAAGGUGUGGAGUAAUCAAUAUUUAAAUACUCUACAAAGUAGACCAAAAUGGAAAAAUAUGUUACCCAAUGUUGCUAUCGGUUCUCUAGUUAUUUUAAAAGAUGAUAACAGCUCGCCCAUGUAUUGGCCUAUGGCACGAGUAAUAAAUGUUUUUCCAGGUUCUGAUGGUUUAGUUCGUGCGGUUGAAGUAAAAACUGCCAAUGGCAAAACACAUAGGCGAUCUGUAACCAAAGUUUGUCAACUGCCAAUAAAUUAAGAUUUAAUUAUGAUUUAAUUAAGACAUUAAUUAGAAUUAAAUAAUUAGUUUGAUUUCUGUUUAAAUGAAACUCUCUCUGUUGUUAAACAAUUUUGUUUAUUAAGACUUAGUUUUAUAAAUAAGUGUAGUUUGUUCAUUAAGAUUCAGUUUAUAAAUGUUUGUUAUAUUUAGGUUCUUUGUAGGCCGCAAUAUGUUGGAAACACCAACAUUACAAACGUAAUUUUGGCUGUCAAUUUGACAACCAACUCUUUUUAUAGCUGUCAUAAUUUUUUUAUAAUAUAAUUCGCCAUAUUUGAUUUAUCGAACAUC